rnacentral:rRNA from 1 species
GACAGAGGGGGCAAGCGUUAUUCGGAAUCACUGGGCUUAAAGGGCGCGUAGGCGCGCCGCCAAGUCAGGGGUGAAAUCCCACGGCUCAACCGUGGAAGUGCCUUUGAUACUGGCGGCCUCGAGGGAGGCAGGGGCGUGCGGAACUUUGGGUGGAGCGGUGAAAUGCGUAGAUAUCCAAAGGAACACCGGUGGCGAAAGCGGCGCGCUGGACCUCUUCUGACGCUGAGGCGCGAAAGCCAGGGGAGCAAACGGG